rnacentral:rRNA from 1 species
AGAUUGAACGCUGGCGGCAUGCCUUACACAUGCAAGUCGAACGGUAGAGUAGCAAUACUCGAGAGUGGCGAACGGGUGAGUAAUAUAUCGGAACGUGCCCAGUCGUGGGGGAUAACGUAGAGAAAUUUACGCUAAUACCGCAUACGAUCUAAGGAUGAAAGCGGGGGAUCGCAAGACCUCGCGCGAUUGGAGCGGCUGAUAUCAGAUUAGGUUGUUGGUGAGGUAAAGCUCACCAAGCCGACGAUCUGUAGCUGGUUUGAGAGAACGACCAGCCCA